UAAUGCUACUGUUCAUUAAUUAAUGUUGUAUUACGAAUGGUUUAUGACAUUUUCUUUUCUUUAGCACAGCGAGACGCAUUUGUGUCUAAUUCGUUCGUCAAUGGACAGGUGCCAGGAGAGAGUGAUGGUUAUAGUGCUCAAGGUCAGCUAACAUGGGUAGUCGAGAGGGCAAUAUGUUCUUUUUAUUGUGUUUAUAUGUAUUUGGAGUAUUUUAUUUAGAUACUUUGUAUUUGGGACAUAGUUGAUGUUUUUAUUAUUAUUAUUAUUAUUAA